rnacentral:ncRNA from 1 species
AAUUUUUAUGUUUUAUAAAAUUUAUUUUAAAUUUAUUUUACAUAUAAAUUUUAGUAUAAAAUUUUAAUUAUUUUAAAAAUAAUUAAUUAAAGAUUAUAGUAAUUAAAAUUAAAAAUUUAAGAAAUUAAGAUUUAGUAAUAUAAAAAUUAAUAACUAAUUUUGUGCCAGCAGUUGCGGUUAUACAAAAAUUAAAUUAAAUUAUUUCAGUAUUUAAUAAAUAAAAUAUAAUUAAAAUAAAUAUUAAAUUAUUGGGUGAAAUUUUAAUUUAAUUAAAUUUUAAGUUAAUUUUAUGAUUUAGUAAAUUUAAUAAUAAACUAGGAUUAGAUACCCUAUUAUUAAAAAUUUAAUUAAUAAUACUAAAAUAGUAAAUAAUAAAUAUUGAAACUUAAAUAAUAUGGCGGUAUUUUAGUUCAUUUAGAGGAAUCUGUUUAAUAAUUGAUAGUCCACGAAUAAAUUUACUUAAUUUAUUAUUUUAUAUAUCGUUGUUAAAAAAAUAUUUUAUAAUAAAAAUAAUAUUUUAAAAUUUUAAAAAUAAAUUAAUUCAGAUCAAGAUGUAGAGUAUAAUUAAGAAUAUAAUGGAUUACAAUAAAAUAAUUUAAAAUGGAUAAUUAAUUUUAAAAUUAAUUUAAAGGUGGAUUUAAAUGUAAUUUUAAUUAAUUUAUUAAAAUGAUUAAAAAUUGAAAUAUGUACAUAUUGCCCGUCACUUUCAUUUAAAAAUUGAAAUAAGUCGUAACAAAGUAGAAGUACUGGAAAGUGUUUCUAGAAUGAA